UCUUCAUCCCUCUCUGGCCACUAUGGAAUUCUAAUUUGAAUCAUGUUUGGAUUGAAGCCGCCACUGUAUUACUUACCAGCGCGGGUUUGCAACGCGCCAGGCACCGGACCAGACGCGUGGAAAUACAGCCGAGGAGCCCCCGGGGGCCGUCCCUUCCUGGAGCGCCUAGUUUGGGCGCCAGCUCGUCGCACUGUGUCCCCCGUGUGAUGCAGACUCUGGAAAAAAGGAGAGCAGGGGAGGGGGUGGGGGUUGCUGGAGUGUGGGUGGAGGCCACUUUGUCCCGGUGGCCAGAAAGGUCGGUGUUAGCCUGGUGAAAUGUGAGGGGCAGGGACCCAGGCUAAGGGUCCUGCAUGUGCAAAGGCCCUGGGGCGCCAAGGACGUAUGUACGGACGUGUGGCCACCGGGCACGUGCCGUGGAGAGCAGGGUAGAGAUGAGAGGUGGGGCAGUAGGCCUUGCCCUUGAGCACCCCUCCGGCUGCGGGGCUCAGGUAGAUUCCAGGCGGUCGGGGCAGCAGGGACACCAGGGUGCGGGGACUGCCAUGGCCCCAGGCGAGAGACAGGUGGCAGGCUAGACUGGGUUGGCAGUGUGGAGGCGCUGAGAGGUGGGGAGAGUCUGGAGGUAGAGACGGAUUGGAUGGCAGACCGCCUUGGGCCCAUCUGUUUGGGGAAGAUGGCUCCAGCAGCCUCCUUGUGGAGGCGGACAGUCAGCAGAGGCUUUCCUUAGAGUGAGGGGGUCCUGCGGCAGGAGGGCGGGCUGGGGGGCGCCUCUGAGCCCAGGGUCUGUGAGGAAGAGCAGGAGUGCCUGUCCGGCCUGCGGCCCCGGCGUCUGCAAGGAGAGGUCAAAGUACGGACAGUCAAGGCUGAGUGUGGGCCAACGUCUCAGCGGUUCUCAAAGCGGGGUUCCCCAGCCAGCAGCAUUGGCACCGCUUGGGAGCUGUCAAGAGGUACAGAUUCUCGGGGGACCCCACCCCCCCGACCGUCCCGAGGCGGGUCUGGGAGUCUGUGUGCCGACGAGCCCUCCAGAGGAUUCCCAUGCUCGUUCAAGGGUGACAACUGGUCUGACCCUUGUCCCGACUAUGGAAACUGAGCCCGAUGGCUGAGUUCCCGAGGAAGAUUGGGAAUGGGGUUGACAUUUCCUUGGAAGGGGGUCCUCGGUGAGUGAAAGCCGCCCCCCACCCCCAGCUUCAGCCCGUCGCCACUGCAGCCGGGUGUAGAGGAAUCGGGAAGGAAGGGUAUCCCGUCUUCCAGGUGGCCUCCCGGAGGAGGUGGUAAUGACCGAGGGCUGAGGUCGGCCGUGGGCUCUGCCUGGCGGGCGGGGCCAGCUCAGGCCCUGCAGCUCUGGUCUUAACCAGCAGGGAAGCUGGGCGGAGAGCCUUGGGUUCAAUUCUGCCUUUGCUCCCCACUGGCCAUGUGGCUCUGGGCAGAUUCCUUCUGUUCUCUGGGCCUCGGCGUGUUUGUUCAUCAAAUGCCGCCAGUGGGGUCGGCGUGAGCACUCGAUGGGUCAGUCUGUGGACCGAGCGCUCUAGGACCCUUAGCUUCGGGGGCUGUUCCGGCUACGGGCCUGUGUCUCAGACUCUGGACUGGGGCCGGAGAAGGGGGCCCUUCCCAAGAGACCUGGCUGAGUCAUUCUUGACAGGGGCAGUGGCCGGGGCGGGGAAGGCACUGCCCCUCGGCCCCCGUGGGGCUGGGCAGGCCAGCGAGGAGUUCAGGGCCACUUUGCUCAGACUCCCGAAAUGGCUGUCGGCCAGCCAGGGCUCACACAGCGGCCUGGUCACAAGAUGGCAAGUUCUGAAUAAGUAAAGAAGAAACAGAAUCACUUUGAUCAGAUGGUCCCAGCUCUUCUCCCGCUGUCCCCCCCCCGGCCCCCCACCGUCAGAAACGCCCAAUCGGGUGCACCCCAGCGCCCUACGUCUUAUUGGAUGAAGGGUGUCAUUGCCGGACCGUCCUCCGUGGAGGGUUUCCUUUUAAUGAAUUCCUUCUCCGACCUCCCCACCCCGAAGGACUCCAGUGUCACCCUCCAGCGAGUGGCCGAGCCCCGGGGCCCACAGCACCUUGUCUCCUGCACUGGGGCCCCUUUGAAGCUGCCCGCCACUCGUCCCCACCCCCUUGUCACUCUUGCCCUAUAAUUCAUUUAGGAUUAGCUUUUAGACCUCCUCGCCAGUCCUAACUUCUGUUGCCUUGGUAACUGUCAACCGUUUGCUGGUUUCCCGUGAUUAUCUGACAAGAGGAAGGGGGGGGGCGGGCGGGGAACAUAAAGAAAGGGGGAGGAGACAGUGCCUGGGUCUUAAUCGAGCUCACUGGAGGGGCCCAGCGGGCGGGCUGCUUGCUGGGGGAGCAGUUGGGUAGGUGAGGCCGGGCGGCAGCUGCGUGCGGGAGGGGUGGGGUGGGGUGGGGUGCGGGGGGCGGUUCACACAGGCUGCCCCCCACCCCUCUGGGAAUGAGUGCGAACAGUAUCAGGAGCCUGCUGGAUCUUCAGGGCCCAGGGACAAAGGUGUCACCCGCCCCCCCCCCCCCUUCCCUUUUGGGAAGUUUCCACUGGCAGAUGGAUUUCAACCCGUCUCCACUGCAGCACCAACCACAGGAUGCCCGGGCAGGGGUGGGCAGGCCAGGCCAGACCGGCAGCCGGGGGACGGGUGCGUGGGUGUGCGGGGCACCAGGCCGCCCGGGCUGGGACGGAGGGAGUGUCCGUGAGCACGCGUGUGACCACAUGGAGCGAUAAUCGUGGAUGUUGCGGCUGAGCUCAGGAGCUCACAGAGGGCGCGGCGGGCACAGCUGGUCUCUGCCCCGGGACAAGGACCGCUGGAUGCAGAGGGGUUUCGGCGGCCAGCCCCUGGACCCCUCUGAGGGCCUGUCACGCUCGUGCCUGGUGGUUCGUGCCGGCUGGUGGCCCCCGGCCGCCUCCCUGUGACCCCUGCGUGUGGCUUGGGCUUCCUCACGACCUGGUGGCCUCGGGAGAGCUGGUACUUCUUAGGAGGCAGCUUGGGGCUCCAGAGGCGGAUGUCCUGGCCCGCAAGGGGGAAACUGCACGGCCUCUUAGGAUCUAGCCCCGGGGCGGGUCACGCCGUGUCACUUACGACACCACGUUGGGCACGUGUGGGAUCGCGGUCCACCCACCUGCGGUCCCCGUUUCCAGGCCGGCGUUGGUGGUGGCCUGGCCUUUCGCAGGGGGGGGAGAAGAUUUCGUGGUCUUCCAGAGUCAGCUUCGAAAGUGAUGCUUCCGUGGAGCAGGGGCCGGGCGCUCUGACGGCACCUUCCGGGGCGGGUUCGGGUUCAGGUUCGGGUUCGGGCGCCUUCCUGGGCAGAGGGCCCCCCCCCCCCCCCCGCUUCAGGUUCACCAGCCCUGCGUGGAUGAGGGCCGUCCCUCGAGGCGGGGGCACUUUCACCCGUCCCGGCAGGAAGAGCAGCCCCCUCAGCGGCAUCCGUGGGGCGACGCCAGUGCCUUCUGGGGAGCUGCUAAUGAGCUAUGCCUGGUUUUUAUGAAACGCCGUGGUAAAUUAUUAAUUUGGGCCAGAAAUGAAAGUGUAGAACCGGAUGGGCUCAUGAAUAUUCAUCCUUGACUCUAGCAUGCCAGGGUUGAUCAGCGGCUGGAGCAGCCAGCCCCACUCCUGACCCAGAUUCGGGGCUAGUUCUGUGGGGAGGAGGCCCUCGGGAGAGCCGUGCUCCCCUCCCUCAGUUUCUCCGUCCGUCGAUGGGGCUGAUAACCCACAGCCCGUCGGCACAGUCGCGGCUAGACCAGCCUGAGCGAAGAGGCCCUAAAGUCAGAGGGUUCCGGACCCGGCCGGUUGGCACUGUGCGGUUGCCAGUGAUGUUGAUGUCUCUGUGACAAGGGACAGAAGCCCCCACCCCCCCACUCCUCUGCUCCUGUCUUAGGGUCUCCUGGGGCUCAGCGCUGGGGAGCCCCUAAAGAUGAGCACCCUUUGGUCUCAUGGGCACCCUUUGGUUCUGGAGCCUGAUUGGGGUUAGUGCCGCUGAGGGCCCUCCCCCGUCCGUGUGUGAACCUCGUGGUACGUUAGCAUCCCCAGCUGGUUCUGUUCCUAGGGUGGUUCCUUACUCCUAAGGGAGCCUGGCGCGACAGGAGAGCUCAGGGACUCCAAAGCAGGGCGGCCAGGGCUCGAACCCGGACUCCGCCAUGGACUCCUUGUUAGGUCGUGGGCGGGCUGCUUAGACGGCCGCGGUUUGCCUGUGCAGGUGCGGAGCGUGGCACUUCCUGAGCUGGCUGGGAGCAUUGAGAGGGAUCGAACGUUUCACGUGCCCCUCGCGGCGUGGUAGGCUCUCUGUGGCGUUGACCUGCUGUUGGCACUGUCGUUAGUGUGGCUCUCGUCGUCUCAUUUCCUGCAGGGAUUGGAGCUCGGGGGCUAGGCGCGCCCAGGCCUCCGCGGCUCGGUGCCCCGGCACAGGGGGCAUUUCCUGGGGACCGCAGUGUUGGGUUAAUGUGUGUUUUCCCUGCUUCUUGGGAACCGACGCGGUGUGCCCGCGGGGAGGGCCUUGGAACCACAUCAGGCUCGUGUGGCUUUCAGUGGGUCCCUCUGGGGUCCUUGCACCUGCCCUCUGCCUGGACAGGCGCCUUUGUGUUGCAACCCCCCGGGGACUGCCUCUGCGUGGAGCUGAAGCCACUUCCUGCCUGAGGUCCUGGGGUGGAGGUGGGGGUUUCGAUCCUCUGCUUGGCAGAAGAGGACACGGAAAAGUGAGGUUUCUGGCAGCUUCCGGGGUUAGAGCCAGAUAGGAAGUGCGGCCGCGGGUUCCCAGGCCGAACCAGCCGCCCCUUUGGCUCUGGGAGGGGGCCGGCUGACCGGCCAGAUGGGAUUCAGCGUCACCUGUCUGAGCCCCAGGCCCACAGGCCGCUUUGGGGGCCUCCGCCAGGACGGGGGAGUUCUGGGCGGCCUUGGCCCUUGGCCCCUGUGAGCCUUCGGGGCCUUGGCAUCGGGGGAGAUGGUCAGAGCCCAGAGCACGUGGGAGGCUGCCAGGUGUGUGGCUGUGGGAGGGAGCGUGCUGGGGGAGGAAGGACCUCGCCCUUGACCUGCCUCUGCCAGGGCUUCUCAGGGGCCUCGAGGGUCCGCAGGUGGGCUGCUGGCAGGCUCUUGGAGAUCUGACACCUGCUGUGUGACAAAGCCGAUGCGCCCCAGCGUGGCCUGCAGAGAGGUUCACGAAAAGCCUGUGAGGUUUUAUGUGGCUUAUUGAAACCAAGAACUCCACCCGCCUGCUUUUCAUCCUGGUUUUGAUGCCUUUGACUCAGGGCCCUGUCACCUCCCAGGUGCUCUGCCCGGAGAGAGGCAGUCAACGGGUCAGACCGGUGGGGCGAGCCGAGUGGAAGGAAUAAUAAAGCAAAUAGCCCGCAA